rnacentral:rRNA from 1 species
GAUGAACGCUGGCGGCGUGCCUAACACAUGCAAGUCGAACGGUCACUUCGGGCAUAGUUGCGGACGGGGGGGGAAGGCGUAAGAAGCUACCCUUAGGUAGGGGACACCAACUGGAAACGGUUGCUAAUACCAGUUGUGCAGAGAUGGGAAAACUGAUUGGCCUGGGGAAGAGCUGGCGUCUUGUUAGGUAGUUGGUGUGGUAAGAGCGCACCAAGGAGACGAUCAGUAGCUGGUCUGAGGGGAUGGGCAGCCACACGGGGACUGAGACACGGCCCAGUCUCCUGCGGGACGCAGCUGGGGGGAAUUGUCCGCAAUGGGCGAGCGUCUGGCGGAGCAACCGCGCGUGGGGGAGGAAGGUCUUUGUAGUGUAAACCUCUUUCCUCAAGGAAGACGUCAGUGACGGUACUUGAGGAAUAAGCAUCGGCUAACUUCGUG